UAAAGCCCACUGGGGUCCCUGGAAAAUAUAAGAUGGAAUCCAGGGGAUAAGGUCUAACCUCUUAUCUUGUGCUUAGUCUAGUUUCCUUGCCUGCAGGGGGUUGUAAGCAGAGGCCUUGCACCUAACACAUUGGAUUAGAGUUCCCAGCGCAGAACCACUGUGCUAACACCCCAGCUUGGUGAGCUGUGUGGAGAAGCACUGCACACAACACCUCAAUUCAAGAUGGCGGCAGCGGACCAUGACUGGAGAAGCUGCACCAGGCACUGUGAUCUGGAGCCUGAGCCACAGCUGCUCCAGCCAGGAGUUUGGAAGAAGCGAACAGGCAAUGUAGUCAUUUGGUAACAUCCUUCCCGCUGCCAAAAUGGAUUAAUGCUGGGAGAUCUUACAACUGGCUAGCACAUGAAGAGCUGGGAACAAUGAUUCAUUCCCUGCUUUGGAGGAGCUAACGAAACAAAAG